rnacentral:rRNA from 1 species
UACGUAGGGGGCUAGCGUUGUCCGGAAUCAUUGGGCGUAAAGCGCGCGUAGGCGGCCAGAUUAGUCCGGUGUGAAAGUCAGAGGCUCAACCUUUGAAUGCCGCUGGAAACUGUCUGGCUUGAGUCCGGAAGGGGCGAGUGGAAUUCCUGGUGUAGCGGUGAAAUGCGCAGAUAUCAGGAGGAACACCGGUGGCGAAGGCGGUGGUCUGGGCCGGCACUGACGCUGAGGAGCGAAAGCGUGGGGAGCGAAUGGG